GAAAACUGAAGUUAUUCAGGGUAAUUUGAUGGUGAUGAUUUCAGAAAUGUAGUUAGAAUUUGUCCAUCACUUCUAGAUUUUGAGUUUUUAUAAUAUCUCAAUAUUUUAUCGGCAGUAUG